CCAAUAGCGUAUAUUAAAGUUGUUGCAGUUAAAAAGCUCGUAGUUGAAUUUCGGGAUCAAUAUAUCGGUCGUGCCAUCGGUACGUACUGGUAUGAUUGGUUUCUCCUUUCUGACGAACCAUGAUGUCAUUAAUUUGGUGUUAUGGGAAGUUAGGACUGUUACUUUGAAAAAAUUAGAGUGUUUAAAGCAGGCUUUAGCUUGAAUACAUUAGCAUGGAAUAAUGAAAUAGGACGUUCGAACCUAUUUUGUUGGUUUCUAGGAUCAACGUAAUGAUUAAUAGGGAUAGUUGGGGCAUUAGUAUUCAAUUGUCAGAGGUGAAAUUCUUGGAUUUAUUGAAGACUAACUACUGCGAAAGCAUUUGCCAAGGAUGUUUUCAUUAAUCAAGAACGAAAGUUAGGGGAUCGAAGACGAUCAGAUACCGUCGUAGUCUUAACCAUAAACUAUGCCGACUAGGGAUCGGAUGAUGUUAAUUUUUUAAUGACUCAUUCGGCGCCUUACA
rnacentral:rRNA from 1 species